rnacentral:rRNA from 1 species
GUGAGUCAUCGAAUCUUUGAACGCACCUUGCGCUCCUUGGUAUUCCGAGGAGCAUGCCUGUUUGAGUGUCAUUAAAUUCUCAAUCCUUUCAGCUUUGCGAGCUGGAUUGGCUUGGAUAUGGGGGUUUGCGGGCUUCUCAGAAGUCGGCUCCCCUUAAAUAUAUUAGCGGAACCUUUGUGGACCAGCUUUGGUGUGAUAAUUAUCUACGCCAUGGUUGUGAAGCAGCUUUACAUGGGGUUCAGCUUCUAAUCGUCUAUUAACUUGGACAAUUUCUGACAUUUUGACCUCAAAUCAGGUAGGACUACCCGCUGAACUUAA